AUGGGAUCCCACGGACACUGCACCCUCUUGGCCUUGAUCUACUAUAUGGAAAGACAGGUUUAGGAAAAUCAGAGGAGGAACUGAGACCCAGAGCUGAAGUAACUUAAGCAACAUUACACAGCUAGAAUGAUCAGGAUUCAACCCAGGACUCUUGAUGGCUCGCUAACUGUUUCUCCUAAUAAAAAAUAAAGUGAAGAAAGCACAGUAAGCUGUUGUGGAAAUCACCCUGGACCUGAGGUCUAAAGCACUUCCAUUUAACAGCUUAGUAACCUUGGCAACCUCAGGGGAAGAGUUAUUUGUGAAACUCUGGCCCCAUUCCUCCCCAAAAUGGUUCAGAUUCUUUGCUCUGCAGCCAACGCUGAUGACGAACGAGGGUUUGACUUGGUGCCCACUGUGAAUGACGUCCUUCAGGAGAUCUCCAAGAACUGCAGCAAAUGCUUUCCUGAGCUUAUUUUAGCAUUAGAGGGACCUCGAAGGAGGAUGUCAACAUUUGGCUUCAUCAUUUGGAGGUGGUCCCGUGCAAUUAAUGUGGUUUGACGCGAUCUUUUUUCCCCCUCAUCAUCCUAAGAAGAGAUACCAAGGAGUGGAUCAAGGAGUGGUUGGCAGACACAGCUCUACAUUCAAAGGAAUUCUAGUGUUGGUUAUUAGUAAUUUUGAG
rnacentral:lncRNA from 1 species